UACGUAGGGACCAAGCGUUGUUCGGAUUUACUGGGCGUAAAGGGCGCGUAGGCGGCCAGCACAAGUCAGUUGUGAAAUCUCCGAGCUUAACUCGGAAAGGUCAACUGAUACUGUGCGGCUAGAGUGCGGAAGGGGCAACUGGAAUUCUUGGUGUAGCGGUGAAAUGCGUAGAUAUCAAGAGGAACACCUGCGGCGAAGGCGGGUUGCUGGGCCGACACUGACGCUGAUGCGCGAAAGCGUGGGGAGCAAACAGG
rnacentral:rRNA from 1 species